rnacentral:misc_RNA from 1 species
UCGUAACAAGGUUUCCGUAGGUGAACCUGCGGAAGGAUCAUUACCGAGUGCAGGCCUCGCCCCACAGGCAGGCCUAACCUCCCACCCGUGAAUACCUGACCAACGUUGCUUCGGCGGUGCGCGCCCCCUUCCCGGGGGGCGUAAGCCGCCGGGGACCACACCGAACUUCUUGUUUUUAGCGUGUCGUCUGAGCUUGAUACAAGCAAACCUAAUUAAAACUUUCAACAAUGGAUCUCUUGGUUCCGGCAUCGAUGAAGAACGCAGCGAACUGCGAUAAGUAAUGUGAAUUGCAGAAUUCAGUGAAUCAUCGAGUCUUUGAACGCACAUUGCGCCCCCUGGCAUUCCGGGGGGCAUGCCUGUCCGAGCGUCAUUGCUGCCCUUCAAGCCCGGCUUGUGUGUUGGGUCGUCGUCCCCCCCGGGGGACGGGCCCGAAAGGCAGCGGCGGCACCGCGUCCUGGUCCUCGAGCGUAUGGGGCUUUGUCACCCGCUCGUUUAGGGCCGGCCGGGCGCCAGCCGGCGUCUCCAAACCUUUUAUUUUACCAGGUUGACCUCGGAUCAGGUAGGGAUACCCGCUGAACCUAAGCAUAUCA